GAACAGCUCCCCUGCCAGACAACUCCCCACCUCCUCUUGCCAACCACACUCAGCACACAAUUUGCCCUUCAAAAAAAAAAGUAAGAACAUACAAACAAAAACAACUGAGCUCCACAAAUGCCAAAAAGCCAUGCACACACAACAGCCCCAGCAGGGGUAAUCACAGACUUACCCUUUACAGAUGAAAAAGGUAACUCUGGUAUGACCCUGCUCGGUCUCUUGGUAAUACUGUGACUCUAGUCAAGCCUCUUGCAGCGUGUAAUCAAGCUCUUUUUAGUCCUCUGGAGAGUUACACAAGUGGUUUGAUACAUCUAGAGAUUAAAAUAUAACCCCAAAACAGAAGUGUAUCCCACCGUCCCAAAAACGAGC
rnacentral:lncRNA from 1 species